GCCCUGCUGGCGCAAUCGGUAGCGCAUAAGACUUCUAAUCUUAAGGUUGCGAGUUCAAGUCUCGCGUGGGGUG